rnacentral:misc_RNA from 1 species
CGCUGUACUCCUCUCUUGGCGCCCGUGCUGUCGCUGGAGCGCAUUAAAAUCGCAUUCACCGCUCAGCUGUUCCACCGCGCACGCCCACGCUCCACACACGCGCUCUUCACUCCACAUCUGCCACUGCUGUACACACGUGCUGGCAUCCGCCAAAGACCCGCUCUUCCCCGUCGUUCUCGAUUCUGCCUCGUUUCUGCCCUCUCAACAGGAGGGCUGUGCGACACCAGGCAAAAUGACGGAUGCGCUUGCGAAGCCGAUCCGUGUGUGCGUGCUGGCGUGCUCCUACGAGGGCUCUGACAGCGAACUGAGGGCUUACGAAGGCGAUCUGAUACAGACCCCGCAGAACUACUUCUGCUCCGAGGAUGCGCAGUGCACAUUCCACCUCGAGCUGAUCAAGAAGGCAACCACGUACCGCCAGAUACGGCAGCUCGUCAUGUCCGGCAAGUUCGACGUCUUCUACAACCAGUGCGAUGGCGCUAAGGAUGAGGACCGCGCCGGCGUUGAGGUGGUGGAGGCGCUGGAGGAGUUUAAGGUACCGUACACCGGGGCCAUAUCCAAGUACUACGAGAUGUCGAAGCCGGAUAUGAAGCUGGUGGCGUACUACUACAACAUCGCGACCGCCAACUACGUCGUGCUGGAGCCGGGCGCUGACAUCGAGAGGCUGUGCGGUGAUCUUCAGUUCCCUUGCAUCAUCAAGCACAUCUCCGGCUACAGCAGUGUCGGGAUGGACAAGAGCUGCAAAGUGCACGACAUGGCGCAGCUGGUGGACCGGGCGACACGUUUCAUGGCAGAAUACCAGUUUGCGCUGGUCGAGGAGUUUGUCAGCGGCGACGAGGCGACGAUUCUCGCCUGCAGCGACUCUACCCAGCCGGAGGGGGUGCGGGUGUUCCCGCCGGUGCAGGUCGCGUUCCCUGAAGGCGAGGACUUCAAGCACUUUCAGCUCAAGUGGGCCUCGUACGAGGGGAUGCAGUGGACGCAGGUGCCCCAGGAGGAUCCGGCGUUGCAGAACAUGAUCGACAUCGCCCGCUCCGCCUUCAAGCGCAUGAUGGGCGGCAUCGGUUACGGCCGCAUCGACGUCCGCAUUGACCGCCAGAACAACAACAGAGUUGUCUUUCUCGAGAUCAACCCCAACUGCGGCAUCAUGUACCCGUACGGCCAGGAGGGGUCGGCAGAUUGGAUAUUGCGACUCAACAAGGGCUUUCAGCAGCGCGAGUUUGCCAUGCUGCAGAUCCGUGAGGCGAUUACCCGCUGCCAGCAGCAGCGGCUCUUGUACGUCCGUCGAUUUGACCCGGUGCGCGGUUACCACCUGCGCGCGGCGGAGGACAUCAGCGUUGGCACGAUCAUCUUCCAGGACGAGUGCCGUCCCGUGCGGCUGUGCACAAAGCCGUACGCGCGACAGCACUUUUCAAAGGCGGACUACGUGGACUUCCAGCACAACGCCUGGCCAGUCGGGCGCGACGGGCACUACUACGCGCUGUGGGACCACGACCCAGCCCAGUGGCGUGCCUUCAACCACUCCUGCGAGCCCAACAUGUCCUUUGCGCCGAUGCGGUCGCUUGACGUCGUGGCGCUGCGCAACAUUCCAAAAGGCGAGGAGCUGACAAUGGACUACCGGCAGUUCAUGGACUCCACCAUGCCUGGGUUCCAGUGCAACUGCGGCACCGAGAAGUGCGAAGGGUUCGUGUCACCAGGCUCCCUCACUGACUCGCCAACGACGAAGAUUGCGAGCCAGCCCACCGUGGUAAUGCACCAAAAUAUAGCCGCGAACCUGAACCUCAUCUAGAUGGGUUUGUGCCCUUCGCACACUCCUUACCUUUUGUUACCUGCGCACGCGUGUGCGCACCUGCUUUGGUGUCUGUGCUUCUUUGUGUGCCCAUAUCCGCGUAUAUUCUUUUGCUUUCGUACUUUGUUUCCCUUGCUUGAGUGCGUGUGCGUUCCUCUCACGUUCGCGGAGGAUCUCUUCUCGUCCUCCUCGGGUGCUCUCCACGUGGUGCAGCGUACACCACCACUCAUGGCGGCGCAUGUCCCCCUGCCCUCUUGCGCUGGUUUGCAUGUCCGACUUUGCAAGUGAGUGAGCACCGCGAAGUUGCGCGCACAGCCCUCUCCCCCUUCUAUCUCUCUCUUCCCGUCUGCGUCUGUGUGUGCGUGUACGCAGGCAACUGCUUUCGCGUUUUCGAAGAGGACGGGUGACUCGCAGCGGCAGCGUGGCGUGAAGACGGUGUGCUGCCUGUCACUGCGCUCGCGUUGUGGCGUGCCCCUCCCCCGCCCCCGCCUGUGCUUGCUGUGAGGGGGUCCGGCCUGGCGUUGUGCCCGGCAUGCGAGGCGAGGUUGGCGGAUGGGUCGAGGCUGAGAGCGCGCCUCGUCUCACUCGCGGCGCGUGCGCCUGCCCCGCCGAGUGUCCAGCGCUGCCUCCCUGUACGACCCCUCAGGGGAGGGCGUGCCAGGGGCUGUCUCUGCGCAGGCGCCGCCGACCACAGCUUGCAUGGUGCAUCGCAUCGAAGCACGGCAUGCAGAGGGGAGGGGCGCACGCGUGAUAGACGCAAGAGACGCGAGGGGGUGCAUAUGAACCAGCCCCCAAGAGUGCGUGCGUGCGACAUGCGCGGGAAGCCCGACGAGAGCGCCCCGAACUGCACCGUCGGGUCCUGCAGACUCCGACGUGGAGAGUCGCCGCAGGGUACUGUUUGUCUGCCGUGGCUGGAAGCCGCGGAGGGAGAAGCACGGCACACAGGCAGCGUGUGCAGGCCCUCAGAGGGCCGUGGCCUGCAGCUGACGAGCUUCCUUCUCGGGCCCGUCCGGCACGCGGCUAGACCACCGCCUGUUUGGCCACACGAUAUAGACGCCGCUGCUUCCGCCGCGGAGCAGGGGGCUGGACGCGGCUGGCUUGGAUCCAAGGCAUGUGCCCCCCCCCCCCUGAGGUCCGUGUGGCGCCGACCGCGCGGCAGGUAUGCAAGGAGGGGGCGAGGAGGGACGGGCAGAGUCUGUUAGACGCGUGACCCAGUUCGACGACAGGCCGGCUCGUCCUUGACGACCCGGAUGGGGCCGCGGUGCGACAGAGGUGUGGUGAGCUGUGGUUGUGCGCGCGUACGCUUGCGGACUUGUUGUUCAUAACGGCACGCUGUAGACAAACAUGGCAUUUUAGGGCUGUUGUUGUAUGUGGUCGAAUGUCGGUGAGCGGCCUAUCUGCGUGGAGUGAAUGGCGUGUGGGUGAGGGCACUGACGAGGUUGUAUACGGUGCCUGCCGGCAUGGAUGUGGGAGAGUGUGGGUAGAUGCCUUUCAUAGAAGUCACUAGCAACCGAUAGAGCGAUAAAGAGGAGAAUUUCUGCUGUGUCAGAGCUGCCUAGACCGGCUCAGGAAUCCAGUAAAGUUGUGUGUGCCUACGCUUGUCUUGCUCCCCUCCUGCACACCCGAAUAGCGGUAUCGAAGAUAAGCGUACCUGGCGUAAUUUCACCCCCUGUCGCGAUGCUUCCCUCUGUCGAUUCUUGGCUUGUAUCUCGCUGCCACUGCCUCCUCUGUGCGAUCGGUGCAAAGGAAUGAACAGAAAGCAUUCCAUGUGAAGUGGUCGUUGUACACACAGCUCCGUCGAAAAGGAUUGCGAUAAGGCUUGCGGGUGGGGGGGGAGGGGAAGUGGCCAGAGCGAGAGGGAGAACGCGUGAGUCGGGAGAGCGCGAAAAGCUACAGGAUUUGCAUGGGCCUCUCUUCAUAGAUAUUUUCUUUCUUUCUCUGCUGAGUGAAUGGCCAUCGCUUCUGUGCUUGUGCCUUGCGUGUGCCACGGCGUACUCAGUCCACGGCUACCUAAUCAAUGGAUGGCGAGCAUCGUGGAGGAGGAAGCGAUGGAGCAGGCAGGCACCCUGACGUCCACGGAAGCAUCGGCACACGCCACCUUUACACGGAUGAGGGGGAGAUUAGCGGAGGCGUGCUCUCCUUCACCCGAGCUCACGCAUAUAUAGAUGGAUGGACACGU